GGCUCAGGAUGAACGCUAGCUACAGGCUUAACACAUGCAAGUCGAGGGGCAGCAGGGAUUUAGCUUGCUAAAUCCGCUGGCGACCGGCGCACGGGUGAGUAACGCGUAUCCAACCUGCCCAUUACUCGGGGAUAGCCUUGCGAAAGUAAGAUUAAUACCCGAUGUUGUUUGAUUGCCGCAUGACGAUCAAACCAAAGAUUUAUUGGUAAUGGAUGGGGAUGCGUGACAUUAGGUAGUUGGUGAGGUAACGGCUCACCAAGCCCACGAUGUCUAGGGGUUCUGAGAGGAAGGUCCCCCACACUGGAACUGAGACACGGUCCAGACUCCUACGGGAGGCAGCAGUGAGGAAUAUUGGUCAAUGGUCUGACGACUGAACCAGCCAUGCCGCGUGAAGGUGACGGCCCUAUGGGUCUUAAACUUCUUUUGUUCGGGAAUAAAGUGCAGUACGCGUACUGUUUUGUAUGUACCGUUCGAAUAAGCAUCGGCUAAUUCCGUG
rnacentral:rRNA from 1 species